ACUGCGUGCGGUCAGAGAGAGAGCCGGGAGGAAUAAGCGAAGGAAGAGGUGGCGGGAUCCUGCGGGGCUGGAUUGGAGCACCGGUGGUGCUACUGCUGCCGUUGGACGCCGGCUGAAGGGACAAGUCCCUAGGUAAGGAAACAUCAUGUGUUGCAUCGGCACAUUUGAUGCAGAGUAGCUACUGUAAGUUCCUCUCCCUUCUCUAAUAAGCAUUGCGACCUCUCCCUUCUCUAAUUGGUAUUGAGAUUCAAUUGCUAUUCGAUGGAGAGCAGCCACAAAAAGUUCCUCAAUUGAUGCACAGCGGCCACCGAAAACAGAUCUUGCUUUCAAUCUCUAAUUGAUUCUCAGCUACAGAGUGGCAUGUAUCUAUAGACUUGCUAAUGUGAUGGCUAAUGCAUGUGUAUUAAUUCAUGAAUUAGCAAAAUAUUUCCCGUGAGAUGUGCUAAUAUACAAAUUUGAUGUUCACGGUGCCCUCCACUUUUUUUUGUUAUGCCUAUAAGAGAUGACUUUUUUUCAAUUUUUAAAUAGAAAAGCACAGUAUGGUUGCUCUUAUAUACAGCUUAUAAAAAGGAAUUGCAAAAUAAGAAGAGUGAUCUGUUCUACUCAAAACAAAAUUGCUGAAAUUCACAUGCAUGGUGGCGCCAUACAGCGAGCGCAUGGUGGCAGAGUUCACAAGCUAGAUCUUUGACUGGCGUUAUGGCUUGUCUUGAUGCAGAGAAGGACGGGGUUCAAGUUGUUGGGCCGGUGGCAGGGGCAGCAUGAUGUUUUCGUCAGGUAACAACCUAGGCAUCGACUCAAGAUUUAACUGAACCAAUUCCUUUAAUUCAGGCUCCAAAUCGUUGUUAUUUGAUUCACCAAUUGGUUGCUGGCAACAACUAAUUGGACAUAUAAUUGUUGAUUUCUAUACAAACAAUAUCUUCAGUUGUUUUCAGAUCUUCAAUAAGGAUCAUCAAGCCCUCUGUUUUUUAUAUGAAGAAUAGAUAUUGUAAUUGUGCCUCCAUUACGUCUAAAAGUCAGGUAUCGGAAAACUGUCAUUGGCAUAUCUCUGUCAUGAUGGAAGAUUGGUUAGACAGAAAAAGGACCUCUGGUUAUGUAUGACAUGAUGCGAGGCACAUAUCUCUGAAUGAAGCGCAACAAGAAUUGACAUCCUCUAAUGCUAACUGUUGACCAUUCUUCUCUGAAGUAUCAGAGGUGUGGAUUGGAAUCAGUUUUUUUGCUGCACCCCCAUUCCGACAAGGUCACGCACACAUACCACCGGGAAUCCCACGAACCCUAUGUUCGAGCGCGAGCGACGGCAAUAGCAUCUGCAAGUACUUGACCAACACGCUACCCAGGUGUGGUAUCCACUAUUGAGGCCAAGCAACCUAGCUCGGUCAUCCUUAAGUGUGCUUGUGUCCACCACCUGAUGAAGAACGGGAGAAGAUUGCUGACUUUGUGCCUAAUGAUGGUUGCCUGAACUUCGUAGAGCAAAUUGACGAGGUGUUGAUUGCUGAAUUUGGUCUUAAGAGGCACGUCGUGGGAGAUAUCCCUUGUGGCAGGUUCAAAGUUGUGAUGGUAUCUGGUGUCUCCCAGCGAGAUUUGUUCCUUCUCUUAACAGUUACUAUUAAGGUAUAACAGUGAUGUGCUACUCUGCUGGUCCUUUAGAUGUCAAAAAGAUUAUGUGUUGUGCUAGCUAGCGACUUUUAUCUCCCCGUGGAUGCAGAUUUCAGAAUAUGUUUAGUUACGACGUACCACAAAGCUGAUCUUUUUAACAUUUGAUUGUCGUGCUUAAUACCACAGUUAGGUAGUUUGACUCUUAGACACUGGUCUUUUUAAUAUCAGACUUAAACAACUACAGUUCUAAAUAGCAGUAGUUCUUCUGAAUUUCUACCUAUUUAUUUCACUAUUGUGGUUUCAAAAUCCAAUAGCCUUGCUGUUAGUUAAUGCUCUAUUUAUAUUUUUUGCCAACAGAACAAAUUUAUGUUUCCAGCAAAAAAGUUGGCCGGCCCCAGCAAAAAAAAAAGAACAGUUCCAGCAAAAAAAGAUCGCCGUCGUGGUCACAGGUGUCAACAAGCAGUCUUCGGAAUCAUCAAUAAGCCAACAGCGAGAAAUAAGUUUAAGAAUUGAGUUCCCUUAACAGGGAAAUAAGGAAGGGAAGAAACAAAUAGGGAACAAUCAGAUGAAGCAUCAAG